AAGGGGAGCGCUGGAUCCUGGGCAGUGUCCCUGGCACCUUGGCUCUGGGGCCUGCACUGCUGGAUCACACUCCUGGGGCUGUGCAGCCCCCU
rnacentral:pre_miRNA from 1 species